rnacentral:rRNA from 1 species
CAAAGGAAUUGACGGGACCCGCACAAGCGGUGGAUGAUGUGGUUUAAUUCGAUGCAACGCGAAAACCUUACCCACCUUUGACAUAUACGGAACCCUUUAGAGAUAGAGGGGUGCUCGAAAGAGAGCCGUAACACAGGUGCUGCAUGGCUGUCGUCAGCUCGUGUCGUGAGAUGUUGGGUUAAGUCCCGCAACGAGCGCAACCCUUGUCAUUAGUUGCUACAUUCAGUUGGGCACUCUAAUGAGACUGCCGGUGACAAGCCGGAGGAAGGUGGGGAUGACGUCAAGUCCUCAUGGCCCUUAUAGGUGGGGCUACACACGUCAUACAAUGGCUGGUACCAAAAGGGGUUUGCCAACCCGCGAGGGGGAGCCAAUCCCAUAAAGCCAGUCGUAGUCCGGAUCGUAGUCUGCAACUCGACUACGUGAAGUCGGAAUCGCUAGUAAUCGUGGAUCAGAAUGUCACGGUGAAUACGUUCCCGGGUCUU